GCUGCUUCCCACCUUUCACGUUCCUCGUGGCGUAAAGUGUUCUCGCGAGAUUUCGGGCCCACUAUUAGCUGGGUGGUGCGAUGGGCCAUCCUUUUCUUUCGAGAGGCCGUGGAGAUAAUAGCUGUUUAUGUUAGCAUUCGUUCGGAGAAGCCACAUCAUGUUUGCCGAGUUGUCGGAAAUCUGAAGCAAGUAAUAAGUGAUGAGUAAUUUGGAGAGGGGCUUGGAGAAUACAUAACAGGAAUGAAUUCUCUGAACCCUAUAAUGGCAUCUGAUUCAGCUGUGGAAAUUGAAAAUCACAGUGAUAAUUCUUCAUCUGGUAGCAGCUUAUUUAAAACUCAGUGUGUCCCUUCCUCACCUAAACCGAGGCAAAGAAACCGUAUCAGAAAAUUUGUUUAUUCACCUGAAAGUGUUCAAGCAAAGGAUUCCUCUAGUGACUCAUCUUUAGAACCAAGACCAUUGACUUUAAAAGCUAUUUUUGAAAGAUUCAAAAAAAAGAAACGUAAAAAGAGGAAAUACAAGCCAACAGGAAGACCAAGGGGAAGACCAAAAGGAAGAAAAAAUACUAGACGCUCCCAAAUAAAUAGGAAACAAGUUAGAGACAAAGGAUCUGGGUUCCCAUUUUUAGAAUCAGAGAAUGAAAGAAAACCACUACCUUGGAGGAAGAUUUUAACCUUUGAGCAAGCAGUGGCAAGAGGAUUUUUCAACUACCUUGAAAAGCUGAAGUAUGAAUACUACCUCAAGGAAUCCUUGAAACAAAUGAAUGUUGGUGAAGAUUUAGAAAAAGAAGACUUUGACAGCCGUAGAUAUAAAUACUUGGAUGAUGAUGGAUCUCUCUCUCCUAUUGAGUCAGAAGCAGAGGAUGAUCUUGCAACAAAUCUUGAACAUGAUGACGAAUGUGAUAUCAAAUUGGUGGACCAUAAUUAUUUCAUAGUAAGUUCUGAAGUACCAAAGAAGAAGAAUGUGUAUUUAGAACAAGAGGAAUAUACUGAAGAAGGAGCUGUGUCUAGAAGGAGAACAUCAAGGUCCAAAAACAUUGGACAGAGGAUAGAAUGGCCUGAAAAGGAGAUAGGAAUAUGAAUGUUGAGGUAUUGGAGUAUCCCAAGAAUCUGUAUAGUUCAGGGCGUGCUAGUUUAGGGUGUUUGAAAUUGAGAACCAGGGGUCCAUCUAGUCUGACCCUAAACAUGGCCCUAAAGUAAAAAAAAAAACUGGAUCCCAAAGAUUGCAG